GAUAACUCAAGGGCUCCUCCCAACCCUCAGAGGUUCCAGCACACCCAGCCCGAAGGAUGAGCAUCCGCGUGCCAUGCACUUCGCUGUCAACUUCACAUUCUAUUAAGAAUCUUUACAGUAGCCCCUGGAGACCCCUUCGUACAAGAGAGGGACCUGAAGCUCUGAAAGCUAAAAAGCAUUGCCAAAGUUCCAACCCUUUCUACUUGUGGAUCACCUGAGGCCAUUGCCUGGUCUCUGUCAGCCUGGGUUUCUUCAUCUGGAAAGGAGGGUGGCUGCACGUAUUGAAGGAGACAGAGGGGCAGCCGUGUGGUCUGGAGCCCAGCACACAGCCAGGCCCUCUGGAAGUGGCAGUUCGUCUCUAUUUCGCCUGUUCCUCUGUAUGUUGUCAGAC
rnacentral:lncRNA from 13 species